UUUCUUCCCUUUAGUAAUGGCGAACUCCCAACUUCAUUUCCCUGAUUUAAAAGAAGAACUGUGUAGACAGAUGGUCCUGACCAGGCUCCUUCGAUUUUGUGAGGUCUGGAAUGUCAAGAACAGUGAGCUGAUGGACGUCGAUAUGCUGUUGAUUGAUGUGAAGUCAAAGAAGCUAAUCCAAGCCUCGAUCAAAUUUCACCGUCUAAACAUCUUCAGACCCAUGCUUGGAGAAGGAGUCUUCUAUGAGCUUAUAUCAUAUUUCAUGUAACAAGAAGCAACACCAACAUCAGGUUUGGGGACGCUUCUGUAGCUAUACGUAUCUUCGAACAUACCCAACAGAGAGCUUCCAUUUCUAGAACAACUAAUGCCCUUUGCCAACACAAACACGGACGCUUCUGCUUUUUUUAAAAGCAGAUGAAAGUACUUUUCACCUUAUUUCUCGUUCGUAGAUAAUUUCGGGGAGGUGAUGGGUAUGCACACCAUAUUCAAUGAAGAGCCAAACAACUCAACUCAUAAUGGAAACGCUCGAAAUAGAAAGUAGGUUCACUUGCUGUUGGUUGCAGAGACUCGAUCGAAUUGUCAGGUGAGCUUUUUUCCCAUAUUCUUCCUAGGCUGCUUAGAGGAGACAAGUACUCAGGAAGGGAGAGAAUUGUUCCCAGGCGUAAACCUUUAAAGAAGCACAAUAUCGUGGUUGAGGAAAAUAGAAUAUAACCUUGGCUGAGCUUAAUAUAUUCGUUUUAAAUAAACAUAUAAUAAACAUUUCUGCCAUAAGUAAAUGGAACCACUAAUGUGUGCCUUCCUUACUCCUUGGAAAUCCAUUCGGGUUCCGUUCAAGUCUAUUCGGAUUUUGGAGUUAGAAGAUUUCAGUCCUAUUCGGGUUAAGUUUCGGUUCGAAUUUUUGCGGGUUAGGUUCAGGUUCGGAUAACCCAUUAAAAUUAUUUUUAAAAUUUGAAAAUUUGUUAUAUACUUUAGUUUUCUCAAAAACUAAAAACAAACAAUAUAUUACAUAUAAAUUUGAAUAUGUCAAAAUACGUAAGUUUAACAUAUAAAUUGGUUUGAUUUCAAUAUUUGGAUAUAUGAUCAUAGAUAUUUUAAAUAUUUUUGGUGUUUUGAGUAUACCUUAGCUAGUUUUGUCUAUUUUAGUCUAUUUUAUAUAUUUUCAACUAUUUUGGACAACUUUAAAAUCUAUCUAUAUAUUUUAGAUGUUUUGAAUAUACAUUAAAUUUUAAAUAAUAAAUAUAUUUAGGUAUAUAAAUCUAUUUCAGAUACAUUUGAGGUACCUGAAAUACUUCGGUCCGGGUCUGUUUCUGUUUCAGUUCUCUAAAUACCAAAAUUUUGAACCUAUAUAUUCAGAUAUUUAAUCAAUUUUGGUCCAGAUUUGGUACUACUUUUUGAUCGGGUUCGGUUCAGUUCUUCGGAUUCUGAUUUUUUCCAGCCCUAAUCUCAACGCUGCAGGCCGUUGAGUUCAUACGAACAUUGGUAGUUGUUGGCAUUUAUAUAACCAACGGAUGGUGCAAACUGCAAUGUUGGAGUUGUGAGGUACCUAUGUCAGUGUCUAGAUGACCGUCUCCCUAGCAUCUGACUCUGCUGAGUUUGUAGCUUUCUACUCUGAUAUAAGUUAGCUGGCAAUUUCAUCUAGAAUAAGAGAACAGGAAAGAAGAGAGAGAAUAUUGACUGGUCAUGUUCAAAAGCUUCUUCAUAACGUUUAAACUCCAACUGUUGGCGAAGUAUUUUCAGGCGAACUGAAGGUUUAUUCAUCAAGUUAAAAGAAAAGUGUUACAUGUAAUUUUAUCCUAUGAUUUUCACUCUGUAACUUUCACUCAUAUCCUUCAUGGGAAAGUUGUUAUAGACGGCAAAAGGAUUUUAGGAUUAGAGAACUUGGAUGUAAGUUUGGACCCCCGUUCCCUUGAAUGUCCAUUUAACGAGUUAUCUUCCGGGACAAGAUAUUUAUGAAAAACCUCUGCAAAUCAUAACCCAG